CGGCAAAUCUCGGCUUGGCUCUUAGUGUUCACGGCGGUCCUUAAUUUAACAUUGUGCAAUUAAGGCACGCGGUGAAUGCCAAGAACAGGGCCAAAUCCUCA
rnacentral:pre_miRNA from 2 species